rnacentral:lncRNA from 1 species
GAAUGGUUGUCAAAUCCUUUCUACCUCCUUAUUCAGAGAAGGAAGGAUCUUCUCAUGCACAGAGGCAACAAAUGGCAACUUUCUGAGUCCUCAUCUAUAAAAUGAGCAUAAUAACAUCACCUACUUAAUUGGAUUUGGUGAGGAUUCACUGGGUGAGUUCAUGCAAAGCGCUGAGAACAGGACCCCCCGCCCCCGUUAGCAUUGUCAGCUGCUUCUUGAACACAGGUGAAGAUGGUCACCUCUCUAUGGCGGCCUCAGCUCUUACCCGUACAUCAAGACUAUUCUAGCAACCAAUUGGGAGCUUGAGUGCCCAUUUUAAAUUCUCAAAGGAUAAAGAGCCUGAUUGGCCCAAAUUGUCUCAGGUGUCUCUCUACUCCUUGUCUAAUCAGCCAUGGUGAGACAGGUA